rnacentral:rRNA from 1 species
AAUGAACGCUGGCGGCAUGCCUAACACAUGCAAGUCGAGCGGGUGAAGCGAGCUUGCUCCUGGAUGCAGCGGCAGACGGGUGAAUAAUGCCUAGGAAUCUGCCUGAAAGUGGGGGAUAACGUCCGGAAACGGGAUCUAAUACCGCAUACGACGAUAGGUAGAAAGUGGGGGAUCUUCGGACCUCACGCUAUCAUAGUAGCAUAGAUCGGAUUAGCUAGUUGGUGGCGUAAAGGCCUACCAAGGCGACUAUCCGAAACUGGUCUGAGAGGACGAUCAGUUACACUGUAUCUGAGAAACGGUCCAGACACCGACGGGAGGCAGCAGUGGGGAAUAUUGCACAAUGGGCGAAUGCCUGAUCCAGCCAUGCCGCCUGUGUGAAGAAGGUCUUCUGAUUGUUAAGCACUUUAGGUCUGAAGGUUGUACAGUAAUUUAAUACCUUACUGUUUUGACGUUACCAACAGAAUAAGCACCGGCUAACUUCGUG